rnacentral:rRNA from 1 species
AUUGAACGCUGGCGGCAGGCCUAACACAUGCAAGUCGAGCGAGCGGCGGACGGGUGAGUAAUGUCUGGGAAACUGCCUGAUGGGGGGGGAUAACUACUGGAAGCGGUAGCUAAUACCGCAUACCCUCAGAUGUGCACAGUUGGGAUUAGCUAGUGGGUUGGGUAACGGCUCACCUAGGCGACGAUCCCUAGCUGGUCUGAGAGGAUGACCAGCCACACUGGAACUGAGACACGGUCCAGACUCCUACGGGAGGAAGCAGUGGGGAAUAUUGCACAAUGGGCGAAAGCCUGAUGCAGCCAUGCCGCGUGUGUGAAGAAGGCCUUCGGGUUGUAAAGCACUUUCAGCGGGGAGGCGUUACCCGCAGAAGAAGCACCGGCUAACUCCGUGCCAGCAGCCGCGGUAAUAC